rnacentral:lncRNA from 1 species
UAUUGUUUCACUAUUACCUUUUCUUGCGCAUCACAUUCAAUGUCCGCUCUGUUCGCGAAAUGAAAUCCAAAAACUUCCGAGAUCCAUGGAUUUCCCACUUAGCUCUCUCUUUCGUGCAAUACAAUUAAGGAUACACUAUACUACAAUACUUCUCCUAAUCGUUGCUUCGUGUACGGGCAUAAUUGCCCACUUCCUGUGGGGAAACAGGCCUAGGCCUAGAUGUCCACACUCACCGUAGAAUGGAAUUAUUCAGCAGUGGACUACCAGCCAGCCGAAAAGGACAAGGUUCACAGACGGUGUAAUUCCUGCAAGCUUGUGGAGGAGAAGGAGGAGAUCUGGAUGGCGGAAGGAGUAUGGCUGGGGCAGGAGUUGGAGCCCAGAGUGUGCCUCCCUCUUGGAUUUCUCUUGGCUGUGCCCUGGUGGAGCCUGUCUGCAACAUUUCCUCCAUCACACGCUUUUCAACAGCCUCAGGUCCUCACCUGAAGUCACCUUUGUUCAGCAGUCUAUGGUCCCUGGCAGGAGCUGCUACAGGACUGGACAGGACAGGACAGUGACCGCAUUUGCCUCCAGAAUAUACACACUUCAGAUAAGCCUGAUAAAACUGGCUCUGUGUAGUAGUGGGCUUUACCCUGCCUCUUAUGUGUAGGGGAUUAUUUUAUCCAGUCUUAAUAUCUAGUCUUCGCUUCA